GACGAACGCUGGCGGCGUGCUUAACACAUGCAAGUCGAACGGAAAGGCCCUGCUUUUGUGGGGUGCUCGAGUGGCGAACGGGUGAGUAACACGUGAGUAACCUGCCCUUGACUUUGGGAUAACUUCAGGAAACUGGGGCUCAUACCGGAUAGGAGCUCCUGCUGCAUGGUGGGGGUUGGAAAGUUUCGGCGGUUGGGGAUGGACUCGCGGCUUAUCAGCUUGUUGGUGGGGUAGUGGCUUACCAAGGCUUUGACGGGUAGCCGGCCUGAGAGGGUGACCGGCCACAUUGGGACUGAGAUAGGGCCCAGACUCCUACGGGAGGCAGCAGUGGGGAAUAUUGCACAAUGGGCGGAAGCCUGAUGCAGCAACGCCGCGUGCGGGAUGACGGCCUUCGGGUUGUAAACCGCUUUCGCCUGUGACGAAGCGUGAGUGACGGUAAUGGGUAAAGAAGCACCGGCUAACUACGUG
rnacentral:rRNA from 1 species